GCAAACUUGGUCAUUUAGAGGAAGUAAAAGUCGUAACAAGGUUUCCGUAGGUGAACCUGCGGAAGGAUCAUCACUGAGAUCGGGGCGUGCGGCAGCAGCACAGUGCGUAGAGGUGUGUACACACACCUUUGCGCGCUCUCUAUCUGCUUUGCUGCGCCCCCAACCAAUCUUGUGUGCACUGUUUUUUAUCUCUUCCACAAAGUCAAGGAGACAUUACCCCCGCGACACGCGUGGCAGCCUGUGUUGUGUGUUGGCAAGUAGCAGCGCGUAUGCGCGCCGCUUGCCAACCGCACACGCGCGCCAUGUCGUGUUGUGGUGCGGGUGUGGUGUUCUUUCUUGUUCUCUGUGUGUAAUCUCUUGUGUAAAUUACUGUCUAACGUUAUAUACAUAACUAACAUGAACACAACUUUCAACAAUGGAUCUCUUGGCUCUCGCAUCGAUGAAGAACGCAGC
rnacentral:misc_RNA from 1 species